rnacentral:rRNA from 1 species
UACGAAGGGGGCUAGCGUUGCUCGGAAUUACUGGGCGUAAAGCGCACGUAGGCGGCUUUCUAAGUCGGGGGUGAAGUCCUGGAGCUCAACUCCAGAACUGCCUUCGAUACUGGAGAGCUCGAGUCCGGGAGAGGUGAGUGGAACUGCGAGUGUAGAGGUGAAAUUCGUAGAUAUUCGCAAGAACACCAGUGGCGAAGGCGGCUCACUGGCCCGGUACUGACGCUGAGGUGCGAAAGCUAGGGGAGCAAACAGG